GUGCUCAUCCUGGCAACAGGAACGACCAUAAAGAAGCCGUCGAGAGGUAUCGGAAGAGUUUUCUUUUCUGUUUUAUAGCCGUACUACCAUGGAAGUCUUUCGCAGAGAGAUAUGGUAGAUGGGCUAGAAGAGCAUGACAUAUACUGUUGUGUCGAUAUUUUCUCCUCGGACCUUGAAAAUUUAUGGUGGGGAUACGCAAACUUCUCAACAGGCCGUACCAAUAUCCGCAGCUGGUCUCCAAGGUGAAGAGUCUCUAGUCGAUAGAAUAAUGUAGGUAAGGGAAGUCGGCAAAUUAGAUCCGUAACUUCGGGAUAAGGAUUGGCUCUGAAGAUUGAGAUAGUCGGGCUUGAUUGGGAAACAAUAACAUGGUUUAUGUGCUCGUUCUGGGUAAAUAGAGUUUCUAUCAUUUAUGAUAGUUAUUUGUUCCCCGGAUAGUUAGUUACGUAGCCAAUUGUGGAACUUUCUUGCUAAAAUUUUUAAGAAUACUAAUUUUUAAUUAGUUCUUUUAAAUUAUAACGAUUAUCAAUUAACAAUCAAUUCAGAACUGGCACGGACUUGGGGAAUCCGACUGUCUAAUUAAAACAAAGCAUUGUGAUGGCCCUAGCGGGUGUUGACACAAUGUGAUUUCUGCCCAGUGCUCUGAAUGUCAAAGUGAAGAAAUUCAAGUAAGCGCGGGUCAACGGCGGGGAGGACAUGGUCCUGGUGAACGCAGAAGGUCAACGCAGAAAUGCUAUACUUCGUAAGUCCGGAUCCAGGUCAAGUCGACUCGAAACCUCCUCGUGGUGUCCUCUGGAUGCUAUCUAGGCCAUUGUCUAGUUAGUAACAGAUUCGAGCGGCGGUAUUCUGAAGGUCUAAUCCUGACGAAUAUUAGAAAACGUUGGAAUAUGGUCUAGGAUUACGUCCGCCUACGACCCCAGCGAACCAAGCAGAACUGAAAAUUUGAGUACACUUUUAAAUUGGAGCAAAAUCCAACAUAAAUGAUAUAUGAUUUGACACAUUCUAAUCUUGGGGUUACAAACAAAUUAACCAAAGGCGCUUGCUGCCUCAGCAUGACAUCUAAAAGAAGGCAUAAACAUCGUAUGGCUAAAAAGAGGAGGUUUUAGUACGUAGGCGCUGUGGAACUUUAUAGUUCUGAUGAUGCAGUGAAUCGUGCAUGCGGCAAUUCACCCGUAGUAAGGUGACCGUAUCUUUCGAAGAUUUCCUCCCUCUGCGAUCAAAAAAAAAAAAAAAAAAAUAGCCAAAUGCCUCGUCAUCUAAUUAGUGACGCGCAUGAAUGGAUUAACGAGAUUCCUACUGUCCCUAUCUACUAUCUAGCGAAACCACAGCCAAGGGAACGGGCUUGGAAUAAUUAGCGGGGAAAGAAGACCCUUUUGAGCUUGACUCUAAUCUGGCAGUGUAAGGAGACAUAAGAGGUGUAGAAUAAGUGGGAGAUAUUAUUCCUUGU
rnacentral:ncRNA from 1 species